CUAUGCGCCUUGCCAGCCCGCUCAGUCAGAGUUUGAUCCUGGCUCAGGACGAACGCUGGCGGCGUGCCUAAUACAUGCAAGUCGAGCGAGCUUGCCUAUAGAAAUUCUUCGGAAUGGACAUAGAUACAAGCUAGCGGCGGAUGGGUGAGUAACGCGUGGGUAACCUGCCCUUAAGUCUGGGAUACCAUUUGGAAACAGAUGCUAAUACCGGAUAAAAGCUACUUUCGCAUGAAAGAAGUUUAAAAGGCGGCGUAAGCUGUCGCUAAAGGAUGGACCUGCGAUGCAUUAGCUAGUUGGUAAGGUAACGGCUUACCAAGCGAUGAUGCAUAGCCGAGUUGAGAGACUGAUCGGCCACAUUGGGACUGAGACACGGCCCAA
rnacentral:rRNA from 1 species